rnacentral:rRNA from 1 species
CGAUCUUAUUGGGCCUAAAGCGUCCGUAGCUGGCUGCGCAAGUCCGUCGGGAAAUCCACUCGCCCAACGAGUGGGCGUCCGACGGAAACUGCACAGCUUGGGACCGGAAGGCUCGAAGGGUACGUUCGGGGUAGGAGUGAAAUCCCAUAAUCCCGCACGGACCACCGAUGGCGAAAGCACUUCGAGAAAACGGAUCCGACAGUGAGGGACGAAAGCCAGGCUCUCCAAC